AAAACUUUAUGUAAUUGCAUAAAAGGCCCCAAAAGUACCCCCACUAGGGGGUGGCCGGCCUUUAGAGAAGAUAUGAAAAAUUUUCUAAAAAAGUUUUUGCAAGUUGAUUUUGGUGGGUGUGGUAAAUGUGAAAUUGAUGGUUUGUAAGAAAACUUAAAGUCUAUGACAAACAUUAAAAACCAUUUCAUCACAUCUCACCAAUAACCAUCAACCAUCAAAUAAUAAACCAAAACUUUAUGAAAAAACAUAAAACUUUUGAAUCAAAACUUCAAACCUUUUUGUUCUUGGCAAGAACUUCAAGAACAUUGAAGAACACUCAUGAAAACUCAUAAUAGCUCCAUGAGUGUUUUUCACUCACCAAAACUCAAUUUUUCACCACUCAAAAGAGGGCUAAUAUCCUAGGGUACUUAGGGGUUCCAAAAGUCACUUUAAAACCAUUUUAACAAGACAAACAUGAACCCAAAAAUCACCCUUUGGAUUUGGCCGAAUUUCCCAACAUACAUGGCACCAAAUUUUAGUUCCAAUAUUCAUGCUUAAAUGAAAUACAUCUACAACAUUUGAGAUGUUAAAUUUUCAAGCAAAAUUUAUAUUCAAAAGCAAGAACAAAGCUUGUAACAUUUACAACAUUUAAAUCACAUAUUAUGAAAAGCACAAAACCCAAAAGGAUUCACCACAAACUAGGCCUAGGCUCUGAUACCACUUGAAGGAAAAAUUUUGUCCUAGCUAAGAACAUGUAAGAACAUUUGAAUACAUAUGCAAACUAUUAACACUUUAAAGUAGACAUGCAUUAAAAAACAAUUCAUAAAACCCAUGACUUUCAAAGCCUAGUAUAUGGUGAACCAAAAAGACUCUUUAACAACAUUAAAGAGAAGUAAAGAUUUAGAGUUUCUUUACCCUUGAAGCUCAUCCUUGUUUACACAAGGGAUUCACCCAAGUGGAGGGCCUUCAAGUCACCUCCAAGCUACUUGAAUCUUGCUUGUGAUUUUCCCUUUCUAGUGCUCCUUUGCUCCUUGAGGAUGUGAGGAAAGGAUCUCCAAAACUCCAAAGGUUUGGUGUCUCUAAGUCUCCACACCAAGGGUGAGGUGUGAAGAUGAAAUGGAU
rnacentral:lncRNA from 1 species